rnacentral:ncRNA from 1 species
GUGACUCUGGAGAAGCUCGACGAUUUCGGGUGCCGAAGGUGCAACGCGGUCCUGGGUACAGGCCGCCAAUCUCUCAGGCAAAAGGACAGAGACGA